CUCUCUGUGCCACAGGCACCCCAUCUGUGAAAUGGGCAGAUGAUGGUGUUCCCCGCCCACACAAGCUUGCGAGGUUCUGUGAGUAAUGGUGGGGUACGUAGGAUUUGGAGCAGUGCCUGGCGUGCAUUCGGCGAGCGUUAUGCAAAUAUUAGCUGCUGGUAUCCCCACCACCACCAUCAUCAUUACUGUCAGCGUUAUUGCUUCCGGAGAGCCUACCCUGGCCCAGCAUCCUGCUGGGUGGGGAGCUGUGUGGGGUCAGAUCUGGGAGGAGGGGACCCAUUCCUGGGAUGACCCGGGCUCUCCCGGGACACCAGGGCUGCUGUUCAUCCCUCCACCCAUUGGGUAAAGGUGGGAGCUCCAGAGCUAGGUGGUCUGGCCGCCUCCCAGUCCUGCACUGACAGCUGUGAGGCCCGGGGCGUGGCUGCAAUACCCUGUGUCUUGGCUUCCCCCGCUGUCACGUGAGGACAAGAGCAGAGCUCGCCUCGCAGCGUGGUUGAGAGGCUGAGAUGUGCUGACCCUCUUUAAGCUCUGGGACCAUAUAGCUGGCAUCAGUAAACAUCGGCUCUUGGUGUUGUGGAUGGUUGCCUGUGUUGGACACUGGGGGGACAGGGAAUCAAGACAGGAGUGAGACGGUGGCCGGAGCAGGAGGUGCCUCCAAGGGUCCUCUGUACACGGCCCACCAUUGCUCUUGGCACAUGAAGUGGUGAUACCCACUGUGCCAGCUCUGGUGGGCCUGCAGCUCAGCCUGAGGAAGGAGGGAAGGCACAGCGUGUCAUGGGGACGGUGGCCCCCUCUGUCCCACUUGGCUUCCUGUGCACCAUCGUGCAGGGUCACUGGAGAAGCCAGUUUCUGUAAGGCCUGGAUGACUGGAGAAACACUUGCCAAAUACUGGGGUUUGAACCCAGGACCUCCUGCAUGUGGUAUGCAUUCUACCACUCAGCUUUACCCACCCUUUUUAAGUGCACUGUUUGGUGAGUCUUCACAAAUGUUUGCAGCAGUGAGACCACCACCACAAUGAAGAUACAAAACACCCCCGGCCCCAGAAAAGCCCCUUGUUCCCCUCCCCCACCCCUGCAACCACAGGUCUGUUUUCUGUCCCUCUGGCUCCGCCUUUGCCGGACUGCUGGACUGUCGUAGGGGGAAGGUGUUCAGCGUGAAGACUACGGGUCUGGCUUCCUCCUCUUUGCACGCUGUUUUUGGUGCCUGUGUCAUGGUCGAGACUGGGGUCCUGUGGUCAGGAUGCACCACAACCUGUGUGUCCACUUGCCUGUGGAGGGACACUGGGGUGUCUACUUUGUGUGUUUUAAUUCUGCCACAGCUGUCUUCGCCUGCUCAGGCUGCUGCAUUGGAGUACCAUGAACCAGGGCUUAGCCAACAGCUGUUUAUUCCUCAGGGUUCGAGGCUCGAAGCCCGAGAGCUGGCACCGGCAGCCUGGGGCCGCCUCCUCACCAUGUCCUCACGUGGCUGCUGCUUGGCGCACUUGCAGAGACCAUUCUCGAGUCUCACUUCUUACAAGGAUGCUAAUCCCAUCAUGGGGGCCCCAUCCUCACGACCUGAUCUAAGCCAAAUUGCCUCCCAAAGACCCCACCUCCGGACACCAUUGCACUGGGGGCUAGGGCUUCAACAGAUGAAUCUGGGGAGGACACAAACGUUUGGUCCACAACAGCAAUUCAUAUGCUCCCGUGAAGCCUGUGGCAUCAUCCCCCCCCCCACCGGUGGGUGGCGAUACGGAGGCCAUGGAAUAGGCCCUCCUUGCCUGCCUUUCUCCCCUUUCUGGUUCCCAGCGAGACUGAGCAGGGCCCAUGUCCCCUAAGGAAUAAGUCUGUGCACCCCCGGACCCAUCUCCCAGUGUCAGGUCUGACCUUGGCUGAAGAUGCCUCUUUGUCUCUGCCAGAGCCCUGUGGCCAGCUCGAAUAAUUGGAUUUUAAUAAAACGGAUGGGAGUGCAGGAGCAGUUCACCACCCUGGCCUGCGCCGAGGCCCUGCAAUUAAACCGAUUAUG